AAUGAUAAUAAUAAUAACCCCUUGUUGGACAUUUGAUUGAUAUGACUUUAACCUUGACGCGAGGUAAGUAGCUUAGUUUGAGCUUAAAGGUUGAAACAAUCAAAUUAAAGAGAGUCUCUACUUGUUGAUAUGUGUACUAGUAAGGGUGAGAUCUAUCCAAACUAAGAGAGGGUAAGGAUUAUAGUUGUUAAACUCCUAACCUUAGAAAACACCCCAAGAUAACUGAGUGUAUCUCUCGAGUGAUGUAAGGAUAAAUUUGAGCAUUAUGGGUCGGGAACAAACCAUUCAUAAGCUUGAUAAGUUGGCAUGAGUUCACACACACACGUUGAGUAUUGCAACUGACGAGUAAAGGUUAAUUUUAUUCUUGCAAUAUUGAUAUUGUUCUAGUGUAUUGCUGAGUUCCAAUCCUGAGACACGGCAAGCUAUUAAGCCAUGUUAGUUUAACUCUGAGUCACUGCAUUGUUUGAGGACAAACAAUAGUUUAAGUUUGGGGGAUUUGAUAAGUGUGUUUUUACACACUUAUUUGGAUCAUAAACAUGACUUAAACAUGGAUAAAAUGGUUGAAUUGUGACUUAAUCCAGUUAAAUCUAUGCAUUGUAGGUAAUUCAAUGGAAAUUGUGGAAUUCAGGAGAAAAGAGCCAAAGAAGGACCAAAACGCAACAAUUUGAUAGUUCGAGGACCAAAGGCGCAAAUAUUGAAAAGUUGAGCUAAAUGGAAAACGAGAGGGAAGACAUGCCAAGUAUGAGCUCAAUGACAAAGCAAAACAAAUGGAAGAAGAAAAUAUUGAAGAGGGACUGAAAUGAAGACAAUUGAAAGUUGGAGGACUAAAGCGCAAAUACUCAAAAGAUAUGCCGAAUGAGGGGCAUGAGAAUUGAUGGUAUCAAUCAUCAAUUGGAAGAUAAAAUUUGUUGAAAAGAUGAAGAAAUCAAAGAAAGAAGUCAAGAGAAGCAACAAAGAAGUUCAGGGACCAAAUUGAACAAACCACAUAGAUGGUUACUUCUAUGCGACCGCAUAGUGUAACCUUCUAUGCGGUCGCAUAGAAGGCUUCAGGGACUCAAUGAGCCCAAAAAAUUUGAACUAUGCGACCGCAUAGAUUCCUUCUAUGCGGUCGCAUAGAAGGAUUUUUGAAUCUCGGGCGCAGUUUUUCGUUUUGGUUGAAACUCCUUUCCUACUUAAUUUGGACGCGAUAUAAAGACCAGAAUUCAUCAUAUGAAGAGAAGGAACGACCAGGGAGAAGAGAGAGACCAAAAUUGGAGGCAAGAAACUUGAUUUUGGAUUCAAUUUCACACGGGCUCGAAACGGAUUGAAGAUUAUACACACGGAUUGAAGAAAUUCCAUACGGAUGUAUUCUUAUUAUCUUUUAAUUUCGUUUUUUUUAAUUUCUUGAUUUUGCAAUGAUGAUUAUAGGCUAGGGUUCUUGUUCAUUAGGAGUUUGAUGAACCUUUUGAUGAUUUAAAUUUCCGUUAUUUCAUAAAUUCAACAUUAGUUUCGAUUGGACAAAUGUUUGAUUUAUAUGAUUUGAAUGUUUCCAUAAUUAUUUGGCCAAUUAUUAUGUGAUUGUAGAUGAUUUAUUCUUUGCAUUCGAAAGAAGGGGAAUAAAUUCGAUAGAAUAUAAAUCGACAUAGGGUCCGAUAGGGGAUGGAAACUUACCUCUAUGCUUUAUGCAAUUCAUGAAAAUGUUCAUAAAAAGUCAUGCAUUCUUAUACAUUGCAUCAUCCAUAGAAAUAUAGGCUGGUGGUGUGAAGAGUAGAUUCAAUAUAUAUCGAGAGAGUGUAUUGGAUAAUUUAGAAACAUUGAAUUGGCAUUUUGUUCAUCGAUUCGUUGAAUUUGUAAAAUUAGGGUUUUUAAUAGUCAAUUGGGGAUUCAAGUUCUUAAUGAUUUCAUUUCAAUUCAUUUCAAUACAAUAGUUCUAAAAUUGCAUAUUUACAUUUCAGUUGCGUAUUUAUUUCAUUAGAUUAAUGAAAUUUUGAAAUUAGGGUUUCCAAUUUUGAAAUUAGAGUUUUCUUUGCAAUUAGGGUUUCGAAUUGGGGAUUUUUCCCAAAAUUAGGGUUUU
rnacentral:lncRNA from 1 species